GGCGGAUGUAGCCAAGUGGAUCAAGGCAGCGGAUUGUGAAUCCACCAUGCG
rnacentral:tRNA from 1 species